UUAAGCGAAUAAGCGUACACGGUGGAUGCCUAGGCAGUCAGAGGCGAUGAAGGACGUGCUAAUCUGCGAUAAGCGCCGGUAAGGUGAUAUGAACCGUUAUAACCGGCGAUUUCCGAAUGGGGAAACCCAGUGCAAUUCGUUGCACUAUCAUUACCUGAAUACAUAGGGUAAUGAAGCGAACCGGGAGAACUGAAACAUCUAAGUACCCCGAGGAAAAGAAAUCAAACGAGAUUCCCCCAGUAGCGGCGAGCGAACGGGGAGCAGCCCAGGACCUUAAUCAGCAUCAGUGUUAAGAGAACAGUCUGGAAAGGCUGGCCACAGCAGGUGAUAGCCCUGUAUCUGAAAGCACUGGUGUUGUGAGUCCGAUGAGUAAGGCGGGACACGUGUUAUCCUGUCUGAAUACGGGGGGACCAUCCUCCAAGGCUAAAUACUCCUGACUGACCGAUAGUGAACCAGUACCGUGAGGGAAAGGCGAAAAGAACCCCGGCGAGGGGAGUGAAAAAGAACCUGAAACCGUGUACGUACAAGCAGUGGGAGCACCCUUCGGGGUGUGACUGCGUACCUUUUGUAUAAUGGGUCAGCGACUUAUAUUCUGUAGCAAGGUUAACCGAAUAGGGGAGCCGCAGGGAAACCGAGUCUUAACUGGGCGAAUUAGUUGCAGGGUAUAGACCCGAAACCCGGUGAUCUAGCCAUGGGCAGGUUGAAGGUUGGGUAACACUAACUGGAGGACCGAACCGACUAAUGUUGAAAAAUUAGCGGAUGACUUGUGGCUGGGGGUGAAAGGCCAAUCAAACCGGGAGAUAGCUGGUUCUCCCCGAAAGCUAUUUAGGUAGCGCCUCGUGAAUUCAUCUCCGGGGGUAGAGCACUGUUUCGGCUAGGGGGUCAUCCCGACUUACCAACCCGAUGCAAACUGCGAAUACCGGAGAAUGUUAUCACGGGAGACACACGGCGGGUGCUAACGUUCGUCGUGAAGAGGGAAACAACCCAGACCGCCGGCUAAGGUCCCAAAGUCAUAAUUAAGUGGGAAACGAAGUGGGAAGGCUCAGACAGCCAGGAUGUUGGCUUAGAAGCAGCCAUCAUUUAAAGAAAGCGUAAUAGCUCACUGGUCGAGUCGGCCUGCGCGGAAGAUGUAACGGGGCUAAAUUAUGCACCGAAGCCGCGGCAGCGAUAUGUAAAUAUUGUUGGGUAGGGGAGCGUUCUGUAAGCCUGUGAAGGUGUGCUGUGAGGCAUGCUGGAGGUAUCAGAAGUGCGAAUGCUGACAUAAGUAACGAUAAUGCGGGUGAAAAACCCGCACGCCGGAAGACCAAGGGUUCCUGUCCAACGUUAAUCGGGGCAGGGUGAGUCGACCCCUAAGGCGAGGCUGAAAAGCGUAGUCGAUGGGCAACGGGUUAAUAUUCCCGUACUGGUGGUAACUGCGAAGGGGGGACGGAGAAAGCUAAAUCAUCCGGGCGACGGUUGUCCCGGUUUAAGCGUGCAGGUGGACUGACCAGGCAAAUCCGGUCGGUUGUUAACACUGAGGCGUGACGACGAGCCACUACGGUGGUGAAGUGAUUGAUGCUCUGCUUCCGGGAAAAGCCUCUAAGCUCCAGGUUACCAUUAAUCGUACCCCAAACCGACACAGGUGGUCAGGUAGAGAAUACUCAGGCGCUUGAGAGAACUCGGGUGAAGGAACUAGGCAAAAUGGUGCCGUAACUUCGGGAGAAGGCACGCUGGCAUUAGGUGAAGUGGUUUACCCACGGAGCUGAAGCCAGCCGCAGAUACCAGCUGGCUGCAACUGUUUAUUAAAAACACAGCACUGUGCAAACACGAAAGUGGACGUAUACGGUGUGACGCCUGCCCGGUGCCGGAAGGUUAAUUGAUGAGGUCAGCCGCAAGGCGAAGCUUCUGAUCGAAGCCCCGGUAAACGGCGGCCGUAACUAUAACGGUCCUAAGGUAGCGAAAUUCCUUGUCGGGUAAGUUCCGACCUGCACGAAUGGCGUAAUGAUGGCCAGGCUGUCUCCACCCGAGACUCAGUGAAAUUGAACUCGCUGUGAAGAUGCAGUGUACCCGCGGCAAGACGGAAAGACCCCGUGAACCUUUACUAUAGCUUGACACUGAACAUUGAGCCUUGAUGUGUAGGAUAGGUGGGAGGCAGGGGGUGAAAGGCCAAUCAAACCGGGAGAUAGCUGGUUCUCCCCGAAAGCUAUUUAGGUAGCGCCUCGUGAAUUCAUCUCCGGGGGUAGAGCACUGUUUCGGCUAGGGGGUCAUCCCGACUUACCAACCCGAUGCAAACUGCGAAUACCGGAGAAUGUUAUCACGGGAGACACACGGCGGGUGCUAACGUUCGUCGUGAAGAGGGAAACAACCCAGACCGCCGGCUAAGGUCCCAAAGUCAUAAUUAAGUGGGAAACGAAGUGGGAAGGCUCAGACAGCCAGGAUGUUGGCUUAGAAGCAGCCAUCAUUUAAAGAAAGCGUAAUAGCUCACUGGUCGAGUCGGCCUGCGCGGAAGAUGUAACGGGGCUAAAUUAUGCACCGAAGCCGCGGCAGCGAUAUGUAAAUAUUGUUGGGUAGGGGAGCGUUCUGUAAGCCUGUGAAGGUGUGCUGUGAGGCAUGCUGGAGGUAUCAGAAGUGCGAAUGCUGACAUAAGUAACGAUAAUGCGGGUGAAAAACCCGCACGCCGGAAGACCAAGGGUUCCUGUCCAACGUUAAUCGGGGCAGGGUGAGUCGACCCCUAAGGCGAGGCUGAAAAGCGUAGUCGAUGGGCAACGGGUUAAUAUUCCCGUACUGGUGGUAACUGCGAAGGGGGGACGGAGAAAGCUAAAUCAUCCGGGCGACGGUUGUCCCGGUUUAAGCGUGCAGGUGGACUGACCAGGCAAAUCCGGUCGGUUGUUAACACUGAGGCGUGACGACGAGCCACUACGGUGGUGAAGUGAUUGAUGCUCUGCUUCCGGGAAAAGCCUCUAAGCUCCAGGUUACCAUUAAUCGUACCCCAAACCGACACAGGUGGUCAGGUAGAGAAUACUCAGGCGCUUGAGAGAACUCGGGUGAAGGAACUAGGCAAAAUGGUGCCGUAACUUCGGGAGAAGGCACGCUGGCAUUAGGUGAAGUGGUUUACCCACGGAGCUGAAGCCAGCCGCAGAUACCAGCUGGCUGCAACUGUUUAUUAAAAACACAGCACUGUGCAAACACGAAAGUGGACGUAUACGGUGUGACGCCUGCCCGGUGCCGGAAGGUUAAUUGAUGAGGUUAGCGUAAGCGAAGCUUCUGAUCGAAGCCCCGGUAAACGGCGGCCGUAACUAUAACGGUCCUAAGGUAGCGAAAUUCCUUGUCGGGUAAGUUCCGACCUGCACGAAUGGCGUAAUGAUGGCCAGGCUGUCUCCACCCGAGACUCAGUGAAAUUGAACUCGCUGUGAAGAUGCAGUGUACCCGCGGCAAGACGGAAAGACCCCGUGAACCUUUACUAUAGCUUGACACUGAACAUUGAGCCUUGAUGUGUAGGAUAGGUGGGAGGCAAUGAAGUGUGGACGCCAGUCUGCACGGAGCCAUCCUUGAAAUACCACCCUUUAACGUUUGAUGUUCUAACCCGGGUCCAUAAUCUGGAUCGGGGACCGUGUCUGGUGGGUAGUUUGACUGGGGCGGUCUCCUCCCAAAGAGUAACGGAGGAGCACGAAGGUUGGCUAAGCAUGGUCGGACAUCAUGCGGUUAGUGCAAAGGCAUAAGCCAGCUUGACUGCGAGAGUGACGGCUCGAGCAGGUACGAAAGUAGGUCUUAGUGAUCCGGUGGUUCUGAAUGGAAGGGCCAUCGCUCAACGGAUAAAAGGUACUCCGGGGAUAACAGGCUGAUACCGCCCAAGAGUUCAUAUCGACGGCGGUGUUUGGCACCUCGAUGUCGGCUCAUCACAUCCUGGGGCUGAAGUAGGUCCCAAGGGUAUGGCUGUUCGCCAUUUAAAGUGGUACGCGAGCUGGGUUUAGAACGUCGUGAGACAGUUCGGUCCCUAUCUGCCGUGGGCGCUGGAAGAUUGAGAGGGGUUGCUCCUAGUACGAGAGGACCGGAGUGAACGCACCACUGGUGUACGGGUUGUGAUGCCAAUUGCAUUGCCCGGUAGCUAAGUGCGGAAGAGAUAACCGCUGAAAGCAUCUAAGCGGGAAACUUGCCUCGAGAUGAGUCUUCCCUGACCCUUUAAGGGUCCUGAAGGAACGUUUGAGACUAAGACGUUGAUAGGCUGGGUGUGUAAGCGCAGCGAUGCGUUGAGCUGACCAGUACUAAUGAACCGUGAGGCUUAACCUG
rnacentral:rRNA from 1 species